rnacentral:rRNA from 1 species
UACGUAGGGGGCUAGCGUUGUCCGGAAUCAUUGGGCGUAAAGAGCGUGUAGGCGGCUCGGUAAGUCCGCUGUGAAAGUCCAGGGCUCAACCCUGGAAUGCCAGUGGAAACUGUCGAGCUAGAGUCCGGAAGAGGCGAGUGGAAUUCCUGGUGUAGCGGUGAAAUGCGCAGAUAUCAGGAGGAACACCAAUGGCGAAGGCAGCUCGCUGGGACGGUACUGACGCUGAGACGCGAAAGCGUGGGGAGCAAACGGG